AUGACUCCAACUAAUGUUAAAGCAGUCCGCAGCUUCUUGGGGCUCGCUGGGUACUAUCGAAGAUUCGUCAGGAAUUUUGGGAUCAUAGCUCGUCCACUGUUCAACCUUCUGAAGAAAGGGGCGCCGUUCGUCUGGACACCGGCCACAGAUACAGCAUUCCAGCUACUCAAACAACAUCUGAUCGAAGCCUCAGUUCUGGCGCUGCCCAACUUCGCCAAAUCAUUCGUGAUUGAGACUGACGCAUGUGACAAAGGGAUCGGAGCGAUACUGCAGCAGGAUGGUCAUCCAAUUGCUUACAUGAGCAAAGCCCUGAGCCCUCGAUACCAAGGACUCUCGACCUACGAGAAGGAAUAG
rnacentral:rRNA from 1 species